AUUGAACGCUGGCGGCAUGCCUUACACAUGCAAGUCGAACGGCAGCACGGGAGCUUGCUCCUGGUGGCGAGUGGCGAACGGGUGAGUAAUACAUCGGAACGUACCCAGUAGUGGGGGAUAACGCACCGAAAGGUGCGCUAAUACCGCAUACGACCUAAGGGUGAAAGCGGGGGACCGUAAGGCCUCGCGCUAUUGGAGCGGCCGAUGUCUGAUUAGCUAGUUGGCGGGGUAAAGGCCCACCAAGGCGACGAUCAGUAGCUGGUCUGAGAGGACGAUCAGCCACACUGGGACUGAGACACGGCCCAGACUCCUACGGGAGGCAGCAGUGGGGAAUUUUGGACAAUGGGGGCAACCCUGAUCCAGCAAUGCCGCGUGUGCGAAGAAGGCCUUCGGGUUGUAAAGGACUUUUGUCAGGGAGGAAAUCCCUAGUGCUAAUAACACUGGGGGAUGACAGUACCUGAAGAAUAAGCACCGGCUAACUACGUGCCAGCCGCCGCAGUAA
rnacentral:rRNA from 1 species